rnacentral:rRNA from 1 species
GACGAACGCUGGCGGCGUGCUUAACACAUGCAAGUCGAACGGAAGGCCCUUCGGGGUACUCGAGUGGCGAACGGGUGAGUAACACGUGGUGAUCUGCCCUGCACUCUGGGAUAAGCCUGGGAAACUGGGUCUAAUACCGGAUAUGAUCAUGCGCCUCAUGGUGUGUGGUGGAAAGCUUUUGCGGUGUGGGAUGGGCCCGCGGCCUAUCAGCUUGUUGGUGGGGUAAUGGCCUACCAAGGCGACGACGGGUAGCCGGCCUGAGAGGGUGACCGGCCACACUGGGACUGAGAUACGGCCCAGACUCCUACGGGAGGCAGCAGUGGGGAAUAAUUGCACAAUGGGC